rfam:Paracoccus seriniphilus strain DSM 14827 genome assembly, contig: Ga0192381_101
UUUAGCUGAAACUCUGAUCGGUGCCCGUACAGACGCCAAGCGUCGGGCUUCAUCGGGAAUGGGGAAGGGUGGACCAAAUCGCGGCACCCGAAGCCCCAGCCGCCCCCGCGACUGUAUGCGGAGAGCGUGCUUCAACAAAGCCACUGGCCCAUCGGGCCGGGAAGGCCGAAGCGACGCCUUGACCCGCGAGCCAGGAGACCGGCCGUCAGCCCAUAACCAAC